UUCUACAGAGUCUUCAAUUAAACAAAUCACAUGGGGCAUCUCAGAUAGCUCAUCCCCCUCCUGGCCCAAUUGAAUUCACCUCAGUAAAACCAGACUCUGUGUCCCUAACCUGGGGAGCUCCUGAGGGACUAAUUGGACCUCAGAAAUAUAGAGUUACUUGGAAAUGUGAAGGAGACCAAGACAGUGUUGAGGUUUCCGAUAUCGGGUUUACUGCUGAGGAACUCAUUCCUGGGAAAAAAUAUGAAUUUACUGUGGCCACGCUCAUGGAUGAUGGUAGCCAGAGUCCGUGUGUCUUUGCAUCUGCGUACACAGAGAUUCCUAAGCCUGAUAAUGUGAUGAUUACCAGCGAUCUAACAUCAGUGUCAGUGACAUGGAGCAAACCUGCAGGAGUGGAUGAGGUCAAAUACCUGCUGUCUUUACACAGUGAUGGGAAAUCUCUGAAGACGCUUUCCUUGAAAUCUCUCCAGCGUCGCUUUGAUGAGUUGCUAAUCGGGAAAGAAUACUCCAUCCGGGUCUCCACUGUACUGAAGAAAGGGGGUCAAAGUCAA